rnacentral:sRNA from 1 species
UUUUUCUACAGGUUUUCAAACCAUCCAGGUGGAAAUUUUUCAUUUUGUGUAAGCAGGAAUUGUAAGCAUAUUAACCAUGAAUGCAGAAAAAGUAAUGAAUGUUGCAAAUUUAAAGAUCUUCUAGUCACUUGCAGGAUGACAAAUGACCAACAUAUACAUAAAUGUCUUGAUCCAUCCUCAAUUCAAAUGGGAAUAAAACCAAAGAAUGAUUCUUCGUCCGCAAAAAUUUAUGAAAAAAUAAGAACACAGGGCAUUCAUGUGAAGCCAACUUCAGCCCAUUAGUGUAUAAGGUUCGGAACUGAUAUUUGUCUAUAAUGUUUUAAGGAAUGUUAAAGUAAAAUAAAGUCAAUGCAAUUUA